AUGAGGAUCGGCUCUGAUUUCCCCGGGGGCCGCCCCAUCUCUACAGGACAGGCUUCGGCAGAUACCUGGGCUUCUCCUGAACCGCUGGGAGCAGACCAGACUGAAGAUACCUCGGUGGCAACAUGUAUGGAUUCAUCAACACCUGUCUGCAAUCUCUGGUGAUAGAGAAAUUUGGUGAAGAGACCUGGGAAAAACUAAAGGAAUGCUGCCCGUCUGAUAACUCAUCCUGCCUUUUUGGCCGUGAAUGUGUUUGCUGCUCUGUCUGGCUGCCCCAAAUCCUGUCAUCAGAACUGGAAGGGCCAGAGAAAUCAGUCUGGUUAGGACAUUCCGACUGGGGGACUUCCUUCCUAAAAGGUCCUAUCAGAAUAUUCAAGGGCUCAGAAAAUUUAAAAAUACAUGUGUAAUAUCGUGAUAUUAUAUAUACAUAUAUGUAAGAAAUUGGUUUUCUAAUAAAGAUGACUGAAAAUAAAACUUGAGAAAUAUU
rnacentral:lncRNA from 1 species